CCUACGGGAGGCAGCAGUAGGGAAUAUUGCUCAAUGGCGGAAACCCUGAAGCAGCAACGCCGCGUGGAGGAUGAAGGUUUUCGGAUUGUAAACUCCUUUUGUUAGAGAAGAUAAUGACGGUAUCUAACGAAUAAGCACCGGCUAACUCCGUGCCAACAGCCGCGGUAAUACGGAGGGUGCAAGCGUUACUCGGAAUUACUGGGCGUAAAGAGCGCGUAGGCGGGAUAGCAAGUCAGAUGUGAAAUCCUAGGGCUUAACCAUAGAACUGCAUUUGAAACUGUUAUUCUAGAGUAUGGGAGAGGUAGGUGGAAUGCUUGGUGUAGGGGUAAAAUCCGUAGAGAUCAAGAGGAAGACUCAUUGCGAAGGCGACCUGCUAGAACAUAACUGACGCUGAUGCGCGAAAGCGUGGGGAGCAAACAGGAUUAGAUACCCCAGUAGUC
rnacentral:rRNA from 1 species